rnacentral:rRNA from 1 species
UACGUAGGCAGCGAGCGUUGUUCGGAAUUACUGGGCGUAAAGAGUGUGUAGGCGGUGUUCCCAGUCUGUUGUGAAAUCUCCCGGCUUAACUGGGAGGGUGCAGCGGAAACUAGAAUGCUAGAGGGUGGGAGAGGUAAGCGGAAUUCCUGGUGUAGCGGUGAAAUGCGUAGAUAUCAGGAGGAACACCUGUGGUGUCGACAGCUUACUGGACCACUUCUGACGCUGAGACACGAAAGCGUGGGUAGCAAACAGG